rnacentral:rRNA from 1 species
GGUGCCGAUUCUGGCUCGAUUGAAUCAGCUGCAGGAUGCUUACACAUGCAAGUCGAACGGCAGCACGGACUUCGGUCUGGUGGCGAGGGUGAACGGGUGGCAUGUAUCGGAACGUGCCUAGCGGGGAUAACUACGCGAAAGCGUAGCCAAUACUCGCAUACGCCCUUCGGGGGAAAGUGGGGGACCUUCGGGCCUCGCAAUUAGAGCGCCGAUAUCGGAUUAGCUAGUUGGUGGGGUAACGGCUCACCAAGGCGACGAUCCGUAGCUGGUUUGAGAGGACGACCAGCCACACUGGACUGAGACACGGCUCAGACUCCGCCGGAGGCAGGGAAUUUUGGACAAUGGGGGAACCCUGAUCCAGCCAUCCCGCGUGUGCGAUGAAGGCCUCGGGUUGUGGAAGCACUUUUUGGCAGGAAAGAAACGGCACGGGAUAAUACCCCGUGCAACUGACGGUACCUGCAGAAUAAGCACCGUGGCUGUAACUACGUGCCAGCAGCCGCGGUAUAUUAGGGGUGUUAAUCGGAAUUACUGGGCGUAAAGCGCGCAGGCGGUUCGGAAAGAAAGAUGUGAAAUCCCAGAGCUUAACUUUGGAACUGCAUUUUUAACUACCGUUGAGUGUCAGAGGAGGUGGAAUCUCCCGCGUGUAGCAGGAAAUGCGUAGAUAUGCGGAGAACACCGAUGGCGAAGGCAGCCUCCUGGGAUAACACUGACGCUCAUGCACGAAAGCGUGGGGAGCAAACAGAUUAGAUACCCUGGUAGUCCACGCCCUAAACAAUGUCAACUAGCUGUUGGGGCCUUUCGGGCCUUGGUAGCGCAGCUAACGCGUGAAGUUGAUCGCCUGGGGAGUACGGUCGCAAGAUUAAACUCAAGGAAUUGACGGGGACCUGCACAAGCGGUGGAUGAUGUGGAUUAAUCUUUACGCAACGCGAAAACCUUAUCACAUUUGACAUGUCUGAAUCCCGAAGAUUUGGGAGUGCUCGCAAGAGAACCGGAACACAGGUGCUGCAUGGCUGUCGUCAGCUCGUGUCGUGAGAUGUCAUUAAGUCCCGGUAACGAGCGCAACCCUUGUCAUUAGUUGCUACGAAAGGGCACUCUAAUGAGACUGCCGGUGACAAACCGGAGGAAGGCGGGGGAUGACGCUCGUCCUCAUGGCCCUUAUGGGUAGGGCUUCACACGUCACAAUGGUCGGGACAGAGGGUCGCCAACUCAUGUAGGGAGCCAAUCCAGAAACCUGAUCGGGUCCGGAUCGCAGUCUGCAACUCGACUGCGUGGGAAGGCCGGAAUUGCCAGUAAUCGCGGAUCAGCAUGUCGCGGUGAAUACGUUCUCGGGUUCCAGUGCACACCGCCCGUCACACCCAUGGGAGUGGGUUUUACCAGAAGUAGUUAGCUCAACUCGUAAGGAGGGCGAUUACCACGUAGGAUUCAUGACUGGGUGAAGUCGUAACAAGGUAACUCUUGCUUGACAUCGAUGCCGCUCCUCA